UGCUGUGGAGGAGGAGGUUGGGCCCAGCUCACACCCUCACCUGUCUCCCACCACAG
rnacentral:miRNA from 14 species